UACGAAGGGGGCGAGCGUUGUUCGGAAUUACUGGGCGUAAAGGGCGCGUAGGCGGCGACUCAAGUUAGAUGUGAAAGUCCUGGGCUUAACCUGGGGACUGCAUUUGAUACUGGGUUGCUUGAAUUCGGGAGAGGAUAGCGGAAUUUCCAGUGUAGAGGUGAAAUUCGUAGAUAUUGGGAAGAACACCGGUGGCGAAGGCGGUUUCCUGGCCGAGUACUGACGCUGAGGCACGAAAGCGUGGGGAGCGAACGGG
rnacentral:rRNA from 1 species